AACUCAAAAGGAAUUGACGGGGACCCGCACAAGCGGUGGAGCAUGUGGUUUAAUUCGAAGCAACGCGAAGAACCUUACCUAGUCUUGACAUCCCAAUGACCGGACAGUAAUGUGUCCUUUCCUUCGGGACAUUGGUGACAGGUGGUGCAUGGUUGUCGUCAGCUCGUGUCGUGAGAUGUUGGGUUAAGUCCCGCAACGAGCGCAACCCUUAUCUUUAGUAGCCAGCAGUAAGAUGGGCACUCUAGAGAGACUGCCAGGGAUAACCUGGAGGAAGGUGGGGAUGACGUCAAAUCAUCAUGCCCCUUAUGACUAGGGCUACACACGUGCUACAAUGGCGUAAACAAAGAGAAGCAAUCACGUGAGUGCAAGCAAAUCUCAAAAAUAACGUCUCAGUUCGGAUUGUAGUCUGCAACUCGACUACAUGAAGCUGGAAUCGCUAGUAAUCGCGAAUCAG
rnacentral:rRNA from 1 species